AUCAGAGGAGCCUGAGCGUAAUGUUAAUGUUCUGAGUGCUUCUGAAGUGACAGGAAGUGGUGCAUAUGCCCAGGGACAAAGCCAAGUUGAGGAGCAGAACCACAGUAGCUUGAGGAAGGAAUAGGUGAGAGUAGUGAUCCACCUGCCUCGGCCUCCCAAAGUGCUGGGAUUACAGGCGUGAGCCACCGCGUCCAGCCAAUUGGUGGGUUCCUGGUCUCACUGACUUCAAGAAUGAAGCCACGGACCCUCGCAGUGAGUGUUACAGUUCUUAAAGAUGGUGUGUUCAGAAUUUGUUCCUUCUGAUGUUCGGACGUGUAUGGAGUUUCUUCAUUCUGGUGGGUUCGUGGUCUCUCUGGCUUCAGGAAUGAAGCUGUAGAACUCUGCGAAAUAAGCUUCAAAUGAAAUAGGCUUUCGAUGUGACAGUGUUUACAGGAAACAUUAUGCUGUUACGAACUUCCCUUAGAAUCAACCCAUUUGUGAAACACCACAUUAAUAAGAGCAGUAUCUUUGGAGAUUGGAGAGUCCACCAAGGAUGCCCACUGGCUCCCUACAAAGUUUUUUAUGUGAGGACUCGGUCUCAGAUAUGGCUACUGGGAUUCUGUUCAAACUGAGUGAAGACAUCAUCAUCUUUCUUUGAGAUCUUCCUUGCUUUCUGGCCAAAGAAGUUAUUCCCUGACCCGACUUUCCAAAGAGUACUAGUUCCUUUUAGCAGUGAUUAGAAACCUGAUCUGAGUACUACUGUGUGUGCUUGUGACUAGUGUGGUUUUAUUGUUUCUAUGUCCUUUCAGCGAGCAGAUCUACAAUGAGGGAUACAUCUAAACAAAACUCCAUAUUAAUAAGUCCAGUUGAAAUCUAACAACAUAGGGUUCUUUCGCAUUCUCUUGCAUUCCAUAUUUGUAUAUUCGUUCACCCAUGGUGGCAACCCUGGCUAUUAGAAAUAUAAUUGUAUUUAUUUUGCUGUAUCCUACAAUAAAACAAAAAAAUUAAGAAUUACUAUACCAACAUCAUGAUAAAAAUACACAUACUAAGUAAAUCUGUUAUGUAAACUACAAGUGUGUUUGUAGCAUUUUUGUUUUUACACUAUAGCCUACUAAGUGUGCAAUUAGACUUCUUGCUCACUGGUUUCUGUUUACUUUUAAUUUUAGUAUU
rnacentral:lncRNA from 10 species